GGUCCCGUGGUGUAGCGAUUAUUACUCAGGACUCUGAAUCCUGCGACGGGAGUUCAAAUCCCCUCGAGACCU
rfam:Nippostrongylus brasiliensis genome assembly, scaffold: NBR_scaffold0001993